rnacentral:snRNA from 1 species
GUGCUUGCUUCGGCAGCACAUAUACUAAAAUUGGAACGAUACAGAGAAGAUUAGCACGGCCCCUGCGCAAGGAUGACAUGCAAAUUCGUGAAGUGUUCCGUAUUUUU